GACGGAGGAUGCAAGCGUUAUCCGGAAUGAUUGGGCGUAAAGCGUCCGCAGGUGGCCGUUCAAGUCUGCUGUCAAAGACCGGGGCUUAACUUCGGAAAGGCAGUGGAAACUACAAGGCUAGAGUACGUUCGGGGCAGAGGGAAUUCCUGGUGUAGCGGUGAAAUGCGUAGAGAUCAGGAAGAACACCGGUGGCGAAAGCGCUCUGCUAGGCCGUAACUGACACUGAGGGACGAAAGCUAGGGGAGCGAAUGGG
rnacentral:rRNA from 1 species